rnacentral:rRNA from 1 species
CUACGGGAGGCUGCAGUGAGGAAUAUUGCACAAUGGGGGGAACCCUGAUGCAGCAACGCCGCGUGGAGGAUGACGCAUUUCGGUGUGUAAACUCCUUUUAUAUGUCAAGAAAAUGACGGUAGCAUAUGAAUAAGCACCGGCUAACUCCGUGCCAGCAGCCGCGGCAAUACGGAGGGUGCAAGCGUUACUCGGAAUCACUGGGCGUAAAGGACGCGUAGGCGGGUUGGAAAGUCAGGUGUGAAAUCCGACAGCUUAACUGUAGAACUGCACUUGAAACUUCUAAUCUAGAGUAUGGGAGGGGGAGAUGGAAUUAGUGGUGUAGGGGUAAAAUCCGUAGAUAUCACUAGGAAUACCUAAAGCGAAGGCGAUCUCCUGGAACAUUACUGACGCUAAGGCGUGAAAGCGUGGGGAGCAAACAGGAUUAGAUACCCUAGUAGUC